UACGAAGGUUGCAAGCGUUGUUCGGAAUCACUGGGCUUAAAGCGUAUGUAGGCGGAUGAGUAAGCGUUUUGUGAAAUCCCUCGGCUUAACCGAGGAAUUGCUUGGCGAACUGCUCAUCUUGAGGCAAAUAGGGGUGCAUGGAACUCUUGGUGGAGCGGUGGAAUGCGUAGAUAUCAAGAGGAACGCCAGCGGCGAAAGCGGUGCACUGGAUUUGUCCUGACGCUCAGAUACGAAAGCGUGGGGAGCAAACGGG
rnacentral:rRNA from 1 species